rnacentral:rRNA from 1 species
CCUACGGGAGGCUGCAGUGGGGGAUAUUGCACAAUGGGGGAAACCCUGAUGCAGCGACGCCGCGUGUGGGAAGACGGUCCUCUGGAUUGUAAACCACUGUCCCCAGGGACGAAGAUGACGGUACCUGGGGAGGAAGCUCCGGCUAACUACGUGCCAGCAGCCGCGGUAAUACGUAGGGAGCGAGUGUUGUCCGGAAUUACUGGGUGUAAAGGGAGCGUAGGCGGGACUGCAAGUUGGGUGUCAAAUCUAGCGGCUCAACCGGUAGCCGCACUCAAAACUGCAGUUCUUGAGUGAAGUAGAGGCAGGCGGAAUUCCUGGUGGAGCGGUGAAAUGCGUAGAUAUUAGGAGGAACACCAGUGGCGAAGGCGGCCUGCUGGGCUUUUACUGACGCUGAGGCUCGAAAGUGUGGGGAGCAAACAGGAUUAGAUACCCUGGUAGUC